rnacentral:rRNA from 1 species
GACGAACCGUGCGAACGUUGUUCGGAAUCACUGGGCUUAAAGGGCGCGUAGGCGGGCGGCAUAGUCCGGGGUGAAAUCUUUCGGCUCAACCGGAAGACGGCCCCGGAUACUGGCCGCCUGGAGGGGGGUAGGGGCCGUCGGAACUUCCGGUGGAGCGGUGAAAUGCGUAGAUAUCGGAAGGAACGCCGGUGGCGAAAGCGGACGGCUGGACCCCUUCUGACGCGUGAGGUGCGAAAGCGGUGGGGAGCAAACAGG